UACGUAGGGAGCAAGCGUUGUCCGGAAUCAUUGGGCGUAAAGCGCGCGUAGGUGGCCUCAUAAGUCCGCUGUGAAAGUCAAAGGCUCAACCUUUGAAAGCCGGUGGAUACUGUGAGGCUAGAGUACGGAAGAGGCGAGUGGAAUUCCUGGUGUAGCGGUGAAAUGCGCAGAUAUCAGGAGGAACACCGGUGGCGAAGGCGGGUCUCUGGGCAAUAACUGACGCUGAGGAGCGAAAGCGUGGGGGAGCGAACAGG
rnacentral:rRNA from 1 species